rnacentral:rRNA from 1 species
AAUUGUUCGCAAUGGGCGAAAGCCUGACGACGCAACGCCGCGUGGAGGACGAAGAUCUUCGGGUCGUAAACUCCUUUCGAUCGGGAAGAAUGGCUUCCGGGUUAAUAGCCCGGAGGAAUGACGGUACCGAGAGAAGAAGCCCCGGCUAACUCUGUGCCAGCAGCCGCGGUAAUACAGAGGUGGCAAGCGUUGUUCGGAAUUACUGGGCGUAAAGGGCGCGUAGGCGGCCUUCUAAGUCGGACGUGAAAGCCCCAGGCUUAACCUGGGAACUGCGUCCGAUACUGGGAGGCUUGGAUUCGGGAGAGGGAUGUGGAAUUCCAGGUGUAGCGGUGAAAUGCGUAGAUAUCUGGAGGAACACCGGUGGCGAAGGCGGCAUCCUGGACCGAGAUCGACGCUGAGGCGCGAAAGCUAGGGGAGCAAAC